CUGCUGAGCAGGAAGCAGACGGUUCCAUCAGCAGAGCUGCGCCUGGCAUUCAUCAUUAAAUGUCUGCCCAGGAAACAGACAGCUUUACACUCAUCUGCAUCUGCUUGGUAUGCCAACUGGGAUGAUGUCGGAGGCUGUUGGACUGCUGGAUGAUGACCACCCGUCUCCCCUGAAGUGCCCCUGCAAGACCUGAAUACAAGAAACUGUAACACCUUCUCUGAUGCCCCAGCUGUGUGACUCACACAGGCUGCGUAUGCCUCCCACUCAAGCAUCAAUCUUCUAUCUUAAGUCUCUUGUUUUCCCGGCACCACAGAAGCAUGAGACGUCUGAAUUAAAGAUGGGCAUGAGACACACCAUCGCUCAUCACCCCCAAACAGCUUCGCCACCUGCAGAGGUUCUCCAACGCGCUCGCUCUCUCUUUCUCUAACAAGAAUUGUGACGGAAACACAAGAGACACAAAGCAGCGGAGUUCUAGUAGUUUAGACUGCGGAUCCGGACUCUGUGUUUUUUAUUGUGUGAGGAAGUGAUAGAAUUAUUCUGUGAUUUGCAUAACAGGACUUGGAUUUAAUGCUUAGACACUGAGGUCAGUGCCGGGUUAUUAUAACAAGUGUUAAUGAAUGUGUCGGGAGGAAAGCAACAGAGUGGAUCUUGAUUAAAAUGGGAAAAUCCCUAUUGUAAAAUAGUUCCUUUGACACUAUGCAUUGCUCUAAUUCAAAACCCAAGCACCGUUCUCCACCACACGCAAUUGAAAAAAACAUUCUACACUAAUAAAUAUUCAAGCCGACCCUGCUUUAGUUUUGGUGUCUUUGUUUAGGAGCUCUUUCUUUUCAUUCAAUUCACUGCGCUGCAUAAAGGAACGAUUAACAACAUCAAAAUCUAAUCUGCAACCAUUUCAUUUGUAGAAUUAUAAAAGUGAAAUAUGGAAACAUUAAUGAAUAUUAUUGAAAACUGAUGUGACACCUAUGUGUGUAGAUAUUGGACUGACAAAUUUAUUAUGGGACAUAUUUCACUUGAUA